rnacentral:ncRNA from 1 species
CAGAGUAGGGCGGUCUGCGUGAAGUGCUCCCGGACGGGGUUGAUGCUCGGGGGACGAAGGCGGAAGCCGCGGUAGGCCGCCCGCACCCGCUG